rnacentral:rRNA from 1 species
GAGUUUGAUCCUGGCUCAGAACGAACGCUGGCGGCAUGCCUAACACAUGCAAGUCGAACGAAGCCUUCGGGCUUAGUGGCGCACGGGUGCGUAACGCGUGGGAAUCUGCCCUUAGGUACGGAAUAACUCAGGGAAACUUGAGCUAAUACCGUAUAAUGACUCCGGUCCAAAGAUUUAUCGCCUAAGGAUGAGCCCGCGUCGGAUUAGCUAGUUGGUGAGGUAAAGGCUCACCAAGGCGACGAUCCGUAGCUGGUCUGAGAGGAUGAUCAGCCACACUGGGACUGAGACACGGCCCAGACUCCUACGGGAGGCAGCAGUGGGGAAUAUUGGACAAUGGGCGAAAGCCUGAUCCAGCAAUGCCGCGUGAGUGAUGAAGGCCUUAGGGUUGUAAAGCUCUUUUACCCGGGAUGAUAAUGACAGUACCGGGAGAAUAAGCCCCGGCUAACUCCGUGCCAGCAGCCGCGGUAAC